rnacentral:rRNA from 1 species
GACGUAGGGGGCGAGCGUUAUUCGGAAUUAUUGGGCGUAAAGCGCUCGUAGGCGGGAUCGAUAGUCCGUGAAGAAAGACCUGGGCUCAACUCAGGGAACGGCACGGAUACUUCGAUUCUUGAGGCAAUCAGAGGGUGAUGGAAUUCCCGGUGUAGAGGUGAAAUGCGCAGAUAUCAGGAGGAACACCGGUGGCGAAGGCGGGUCUCUGGGCCGAUAUUGACGCUGAGGAGCGAAAGCGUGGGGAGCGAACAGG